rnacentral:misc_RNA from 1 species
CACCAUGAGCAUUGAUUUUUGGUGGGGUUGAUAGGGGAAUGUAUCGUUCUUUCUGUUCGUGCUGAACUGACCCGCCAUUACUGCCCUCAUGAUACUCCACAGAGUUGGGUACUAAGAAGUGGUCAUUUAUCUCAAGGGAAAUGCUCUGGAAGCUUUGAUUUGCAGUAGCAGCGGCUUUUCUAAGAUUGCCUAGAGGCUCAGAGAUUCCAUCAUGUGACCCUUCCAACACCAUCUUCUCCCCUUCAAG